rnacentral:rRNA from 1 species
GAACGCUGGCGGCGUGCUUAACACAUGCAAGUCGAACGGUGAAGAAGAGCUUGCUCUUUGGAUCAGUGGCGAACGGGUGAGUAACACGUGAGUAACCUGCCCUUGACUCUGGGAUAACUGCUAGAAAUGGUAGCUAAUACCGGAUACGACCCUCGGCCGCAUGGUCAGGGGGUGGAAAGAAUUUUGGUCAAGGAUGGACUCGCGGCCUAUCAGGUAGUUGGUGAGGUAAUGGCUCACCAAGCCUACGACGGGUAGCCGGCCUGAGAGGGUGACCGGCCACACUGGGACUGAGACACGGCCCAGACUCCUACGGGAGGCAGCAGUGGGGAAUAUUGCACAAUGGGCGAAAGCCUGAUGCAGCAACGCCGCGUGAGGGACGACGGC